rnacentral:rRNA from 1 species
GUGGGGAAUAUUGGACAAUGGGCGAAAGCCUGAUCCAGCAAUGCCGCGUGCAGGAAGAAGGCCUUCGGGUUGUAAACUGCUUUUGUACGGAACGAAACGGUCCGGGUUAAUACCCUGGGCUAAUGACGGUACCGUAAGAAUAAGCACCGGCUAACUACGUGCCAGCAGCCGCGGUAAUACGUAGGGUGCAAGCGUUAAUCGGAAUUACUGGGCGUAAAGCGUGCGCAGGCGGUUUUGUAAGACAGGCGUGAAAUCCCCGGGCUCAACCUGGGAAUUGCGCUUGUGACUGCAAGGCUGGAGUGCGGCAGAGGGGGAUGGAAUUCCGCGUGUAGCAGUGAAAUGCGUAGAUAUGCGGAGGAACACCGAUGGCGAAGGCAAUCCCCUGGGCCUGCACUGACGCUCAUGCACGAAAGCGUGGGGAGCAAACAGGAUUAGAUACCCCAGUAGUCC